CUUCUGCAUCUCGGGGUGGGUCCACCGCUGAGAGAAUAAGCAUGGAGCUACCCUGGCAUGUCUUUGGUGUCCACCGUCAGAGCCCGGCAAGAGCAUCGCAGGAGUGCCCGGGCAGCUCCCUACGUGCGGUGUAGCCUCCGCGCCCACCACUAACUUGGGCAGAACCACCAGACUGGAUGUCUUGCAGGCUUGCCUGUAAGACAUUGUGUAAAUAAAUAAUUCUUUUGAUAAUUGUUGAGGCUUGUGUGAGCUCUUCUCAUGUCAUCAUUCUCGGCAGUAAAAGCUGUGAUAGAGAUAGAAGAAGGAGAUGGUAAUGUAGCAAUGAUAGUGUUUGCCUUCCCAAGAAACUGUUACGUGUGAUGAGCCUUGCUUUCCUGGAAGUGGGUGUACAGCUGCCUGUCCAUGGGAAAUAGUGAAUGAAGUACUUGGAUGCAUGGAUUUCCUUUACCUAGUAAGCUGUCUUUGUUCACACUCAUGAGUUCUUGCAAUUUCACAUGUGCAAUUCUCUCCCCCAACCCAACUGGGGAGAGUUAGCAAGUGGCUGGGUGGUGCUGAGCUGCCUGCUGGGUUAAACCACAAAAUUUCCACACCUAUCCUAGACAGCACAUCAAAUUUAAAA